rnacentral:rRNA from 1 species
CACGUAGGGCGCAAGCGUUGUCCGGAAUUAUUGGGCGUAAAGAGCUCGUAGGCGGUCUGUUGCGUCCGCUGUGAAAACCCGGGGCUUAACCCUGGGCUGGCAGUGGAUACGGACAGACUAGAGGUAGGUAGGGGAGAAUGGAAUUCCCGGUGUAGCGGUGAAAUGCGCAGAUAUCGGGAGGAACACCGGUGGCGAAGGCGGUUCUCUGGGCCUUACCUGACGCUGAGGAGCGAAAGCGUGGGGAGCGAACAGGAUUAGAACCGUACCGUAGUCAGAUCCAAG